CAGUCGCCGCGGUAAUACGAAGGGGGCUAGCGUUGCUCGGAAUGACUGGGCGUAAAGGGCGCGUAGGCGGCGAUCAAAGUCAGGCGUGAAAUUCCUGGGCUCAACCUGGGGGCUGCGCUUGAUACUUGGUUGCUUGAGUGGGGAAGAGGGUCGUGGAAUUCCCAGUGUAGAGGUGAAAUUCGUGGAUAUUGGGAAGAACACCGGUGGCGAAGGCGGCGACCUGGUCCUUGACUGACGCUGAGGCGCGAAAGCGUGGGGAGCAAACAGGAUUAGAUACCCGCGUAGUCCCUGUCUCUUAUAU
rnacentral:rRNA from 1 species